CACGACCUGUUCUCCCCCCAAAUCGAACCCUCCCUAGACCUCCUCCUUGACCGCCGCCGCCGCCCCCUCUGCCAUUGACCACGCCCUUCACCAGCACCCCUUUGGUUGACCUGUGCGACCCCAUCGGGAUCUAUGGCGGCGGGGCUUGGAUCUCGGCGUCGCCUCCCUCGAUACGCCCGCGACGUCGUCGUCGCCUCCCUCCCUUGGAGACCACCACCAGAACUGGUCAACGAUGCCGGUCGCCUCCAUCUCUUCUUUAUGGUCCAUCAUGCCGACGAGCAUAGGUGGACUCCCCACCACAGCUUCCUCCCCGCCAACGGUGAGCGUGGUGUCCCAUCUCUACUAUGCUGGUACAAUACUUUCCUCAGAUCCGUCUUGGUGGAAACCCGAUGCAAGCGAGAUCUUCCUUACCAAGGUUGUUAAUCGUUUCUUCUCUGCUCGAUGAGAACUCAUGGUGCGCAUUGUCUAGUUGUCCGUAUGAAGGCAGAUUUCCCCUUCCACCGAGUUACUACUGAGCGUGUUCCUUAUUGUUUUUUCCUUUUCCUACCAAAUUGAUGCAGGUGCUAUUAGUGAAAGGAUUGGAGAGUGGUUCUAGCGGUGGUUGGUUUGUUUGAGGAAUUCCUAGUGCUCGUGAUUUGUAAAGGGUUUCAGCCAGGUUAGUGUAUAUUUCAUUUUGUUAUCUUAAUAUGCAAGUAUAUGUGCCUAUUUCAUUUGCUUGUAUCCAUCCUUUUUAGUACAUGGAUCGGUCUUUAUUUAUUCAGGUUCAGACAUUGCGCAACUGAAGACAGCGUAUACUAGUCGAAGGCACGAUCUAUGCACGUGUUCUUCACUCACUCAUCCGUUUAUUUGAGCAACAUUUAUUUUCAAAUGGGAGUAGUAUGUAUGACAUUGAGUGUUAAAUCCCGUCCAGAGGAUUGGCAAGUUGCUGCUUCGAAACUUGGUAGAUACAAACGAUUAGUGCUCUAUACAAGCUAGUUGUUUACGGAGUAGAAGGAAGGUUACUCUAGUCAUCAUUGUUUCCCGAUCAUAGCCACAAAAGAUCUUGAAUAGCAUAUUUCACCAGUGGGCCCAUUUGGAGCUGUCAGGAUUCCAGAAAGGUCCUGGAGUCGUUUUGGCGCCUGCCCAUACAUAGCGAAUCUAAGAAAUGUCAACCAUUAGAUCUCUUGGGCAAGGUACUGAUGAACGGUGGAUAUUCAUUUUAUAGAAGCAAGGUACUGCUAAUCCAAAUUCAAAAAAUUGUUUACUAUAGUAGUAGGGAAAUGUAGCGCUCUAUAAAUUUUUGGUGCCUCCAUCUGAAAGAGAUAAAUUUAUAGACAUGAGUGUGGAUUUGAUAUUAAAAAUUUCUCUACAAAAGUACCUACUUUCCUGCCCUGAUUUACCAUCUAGCUAAUUGUUUCAUAGGAGUUUAAUACCGAGGUAACAUUUUUUCUCUCAAACUUGUGCUUGAAUGUACCAAUGAAGAUGCUCUUCACAACUCUAAUUCUUGGUGCCAAUGGGUAUUCUUCCAUUUACAAUGAUUAAGUGCUCUUUGUGCUAAUUCUUGAUGUAAAAGAAAACGAACUUUAACUAAUGAACAUGUAGUUGGAAUGAGCAAGUACCCUUGUUUAUCUCCACUGGUCGAUUGAUGUGAGAUCAUUUAGUUCACUCGUCAUCAUGCACAUAUACUUGUACAUGUAAGAAAAUCAAUCAGAUAGAGAAUCUCUUUCUGCCUCUUCUCUGUUUGCUACAAAUAUAGACUAAAAGUGGAGUACUGCUUCUAGAGUUUAAAGAUUUGAGCUUGCAAAAGUGUUAGUUCUCUGAUAUGAAGUUUAUUAUUUAUGUUCUGUGAAAGUUGUCGUCUGAAUAUGAUUUACCCAUAUAUUAUAUAAAGAACAAGUCCACAUAGGUACCAAAAAUUAUGCUUAAACUUCCAUGCCAUCUAAUAGAUAAUAGUUUUUGUAUACUUUUAAACUUCGCAAGCAUUGCAGUAACUUUAUUGUCACAAGAAAUUAGAUAUUUUGAGAAGCUUCUACAAGAUCUUGAUAUCAUUUGUGUUCUAUCGCUUGAUCCUGUGCUUGAGAAGGUGCUUCCCUAAAUUGCACAACUCCGAAAACUUGGCAAGUAAUUAUCAGCUGAGAAAAGGCUACAACAUGCUAGGAGGAGAAGAUUGAAUGGAGGCAGAGAGAACACUUGGAAAUAGAAUGGAAAAAGGAAGAGGAGACAAUGCUGAAGCACAAGAGCGAGAGGCUAGCGGAAGUUAAAGCAAUAAACUAUAAGCAUUUUGAAUGAUUAGGGCCUCGCGUUGUUCGGAACAUCACAGCCAUGGGGAAAGCUAAUUUUUGUUGCUAGUUUAGCAUAGAGGCCAUUAUAUGCUCAUUUUGCCCAUGUGUCGCAUCCAAAACAUAUGUAAUUUUCCUUUUGUUGCACAACACCCUUAUAUAUGGGCGUUUCUAGAAACCUAUGUAUUUGGUCGUUAAUUUUAUUCAAUGAAGUUAAGUUUUACUAUG